rnacentral:rRNA from 1 species
UACGGAGGGGGGCUAGCGUUGUUCGGAAUUACUGGGCGUAAAGCGCACGUAGGCGGCUUUGCAAGUUAGAGGUGAAAGCCUGGAGCUCAACUCCAGAACUGCCUUUGAUACUGAGGAUCUCGAGUUCGGGAGAGGUGAGUGGAACUGCGAGUGUAGAGGUGAAAUUCGUAGAUAUUCGCAAGAACACCAGUGGCGAAGGCGGCUCACUGGCCCGAUACUGACGCUGAGGCACGAAAGCGUGGGGAGCAAACAGG